rnacentral:rRNA from 1 species
CAACUGACACUGAAGCACGAAAGCGUGGGGAUCAAACAGGAUUAGAUACCCUGGUAGUCCACGCAGUAAACGAUGAUUACUAGCUGUUUGCGAUACACAGUAAGCGGCACAGCGAAAGCGUUAAGUAAUCCACCUGGGGAGUACGCCGGCAACGGUGAAACUCAAAGGAAUUGACGGGGGCCCGCACAAGCGGAGGAACAUGUGGUUUAAUUCGAUGAUACGCGAGGAACCUUACCCGGGUUUGAACGCAGAGAGACAGGAGUGGAAACAUUCUUUUCAGCAAUGACUGUCUGCGAGGUGCUGCAUGGUUGUCGUCAGCUCGUGCCGUGAGGUGUCGGCUUAAGUGCCAUAACGAGCGCAACCCUUAUCUUUAGUUACUAACAGGUCAAGCUGAGGACUCUAGAGAGACUGCCAGCGUAAGCUGUGAGGAAGGUGGGGAUGACGUCAAAUCAGCACGGCCCUUACAUCCGGGGCGACACACGUGUUACAAUGGUAAGGACAAAGGGCAGCUACCGGGCGACCGGAUGCGAAUCUCUAAACCUUAUCUCAGUUCGGAUCGGAGUCUGCAACUCGACUCCGUGAAGCUGGAUUCGCUAGUAAUCGCGCAUCAGCCAUGGCGCGGUGAAUACGUUCCCGGGCCUUGUACACACCGCCCGUCAAGCCAUGGGAGCCGGGGGUACCUGAAGUUCGUAACCGCAAGGAUCGACAUAGGGUAAAACUGGUGACUGGGGCUAAGUCGUAACAAGGUAUCCG